AUCGUUUAAAAAGUGGGAGGUUGGUUCACAUAGGGUGUUCUGAAACGGUUUUCAAAUUAGUUUUUUAAUCCAGUCAACACUGUCCCUCAAACACCCUCUCCAAUGCUCGACAAUGUUUGAAUUUACUUUCCAUUUCCAGAUUACAUGCAAAGGUAAUACAAGUUUAUCUCUCAUAUUUCCAAAUGCCAGAUUUUACACAUUUCUUGUACUCGGUUUUUGGCUAAUGUCAGUUUUAAGUCAGCAAAUACCAAACUUAACGGUUGCUAUUUGUCGAAAGAGUUAGCUGUUAAAAGGCGCCAAUUUCUGAGAGAAAACUUUUUUAAAACGCGCCGCUUUUCCCUUUAUAGUGUCAAAAAUCACAGAAAACUGAUUCAAAAAUCUCUAACGUACUCCCUUUUGUUCUGACAUCACGAAGAAGCAAGAAUUGUCCUAUAUCUCUCGUAAACGGAGAAAAAUAAACGGCUGGUGGUAAGACAUUAAAGCUGUCCGUCUUUUUCCGUCAAAACUCGGCGCAGAUCCUGUUACUGCCCCACUUCUGCCCCUGUAGAGGGUCAGAAGACGGCCUAUUCCCAUGGAGGAGCCCCGUCCUUUCCUGAACACACACUCCGGAUGUCAACCGUGAAUAUUCCAGCUUUCAAAGCGCUUUAAAAUACUUCCAAGCUCAAGAUGACGUCGUGACAACUCCAAAUGACAUCAGCCGUUCGCGUGAGAGUGCAACGCCGCUGUGCAUAUCUGCCAACUCCAGAAGACGAAUAAUACUUAUGAUUUCAACUUCCAAGAAGAAGAAAAUACAGAUGACAUCGAGGCACUCUGACAAGUCAAAAAGAGUGCUGAGGAAAAGUUUGUUCUUGUUUGUGUGUAAUCCCUUUUAACCAGUUACUUGGAGGUAAUCUCAAAUAAUUUCAAUGCAAAGUGUUCAAAAUGAAGACGAAAGUUUUUUUCCCCAGGCCUCAAGUCGUUUGAUCGGGCUGGCAGCUCAACACUCGUGGAGUUCAGACCAAGAAUGAGAUCUCACACCCCACUGCUUAAAAUCCCAUGCCAAUGCUCAAACAUCAUCUGUCUCUUUAAUCCCCACUUUGUCUGUUUAGCAUUCCUCCAAAACUCCGUUCAAGUCCGUUUUCGUAGGCAAGCUCAUGCCAGCCGAACGCACCGCAGCUGUGUCGCGUUGCGUCCUCUUCCGUUCGCCCUCGGUUCUCCUCCCCGUCUGCACGAGCCUGUUGAAGGGAACGGCGUUGUCGUGGGAGCCGAACAGCCUCAGUAAGGAGUUGAACACUGCUGGUUGGCGCUUACCCGGGCGCUGCGUUCACGAGCUCCACCACCAUGUUCUGAGCACACUCGGAAAAGAUGGUUGUGGGCGUGCGGUGGGGUGGACAACUUAACUACAGUGUUGAAAUACAGGGGAGGGGGCGAGUCGCAAGGGAGCGCGCACGCAGGGCUCUUUAAUGGCGGCGCGCACGCACGAGAGCUCUUCAUACUCAAAUUUGACUGGCAUGAAGCCCAUGUGAAGUCAAAAAAAGAACAGAUAAGUUACAACCAAGUGAUAAUCAUCCCGCACUUCCUGUGUCAGACAUUCAUCAUGUCCAGUUUCUGAGACGUGCUGUGUCGUGUCAGAUAGGAAAGUUUAUGACACGAGUGUGUUCAGGAAUUUGACUAACACUAGCCUGUGGACUUGUCAGGUGUGUCCACAAAUGUGACACGCUCCAGGAGUUUGUGCGGCAUCUCGAUUCCCACCAGCUUUUCCAGGAACCCCUGACCAAACUUCUCCAGUGGCGAGAAAGAGCGGGAACUGUCCGCAGCCAUAACAAUGCCCUCAAUGGUGCGAAACUUCUCACCAUGCAUUAGGACAGUGUAUUCUGAGGUUGUGGGCUCAGCCCCUGAGAAAACAAAAGAGAGCAAGAUGGAGUUUGUAAAGCUGUUGUGAAGUGUCAUCGAGACCCAGAAGAUAAUUGAUCAUGGAAGACUUGCCAACACUCCAAGGACCAAGGAACAGGACCAUGGGCUUAGAGUUGAUCUCUGCAUCUGAACAGUGUGAGGAAAGCAGACCAUUUAACUGAGGAUAUGGCUUCAUUUUGACACUUUUUUGUGGAAGUAAAGGAAUGAUGUUGUAAAACAUCCAUUUACCUGACACUUCAUGCUGCCUGAGCUCAUUGUAUCUGUAGGCCUUCUCCAAGGGAUUAAUUGCAGAGUUGUAGACAUGCUGCAGCUUCUUCAGAGCAUC